rnacentral:tRNA from 1 species
CAUUAGAUGACUGAAAGCAAGUACUGGUCUCUUAAACCAUUUAAUAAUACAUUAGCGCGUAUUUCUAAUGA